rnacentral:rRNA from 1 species
GCUACAGGCUUAACACAUGCAAGUCGAGGGGCAGCAUGGUCUUAGCUUGCUAAGGCCGAUGGCGACCGGCGCACGGGUGAGUAACGCGUAUCCAACCUGCCUUACACUCUUGGACAGCCUUCUGAAAGGGAGAUUAAUACAAGAUGUUAUCAUGAGUAAGCAUUUUCGCAUGAUUAAAGGUUUACCGGUGUAAGAUGGGGAUGCGUUCCAUUAGAUAGUAGGCGGGGUAACGGCCCACCUAGUCUUCGAUGGAUAGGGGUUCUGAGAGGAAGGUCCCCCACAUUGGAACUGAGACACGGUCCAAACUCCUACGGGAGGCAGCAGUGAGGAAUAUUGGUCAAUGGACGAGAGUCUGAACCAGCCAAGUAGCGUGAAGGAUGAAGGUUCUAUGGAUUGUAAACUUCUUUUAUACGGGAAUAAACGAAUCCACGCGUGGAUUUUUGCAUGUACCGUAUGAAUAAGGAUCGGCUAACUCCGUGCCAGCAGCCGCGGUAAUACGGAGGAUCCGAGCGUUAUCCGGAUUUAUUGGGUUUAAAGGGAGCGUAGAUGGGUUGUUAAGUCAGUUGUGAAAGUUUGCGGCUCAACCGUAAAAUUGCAAUUGAUACUGGCAGUCUUGAGUACAGUUGAGGUAGGCGGAAUUCGUGGUGUAGCGGUGAAAUGCUUAGAUAUCACGAAGAACUCCGAUUGCGAAGGCAGCUUACUAACCUGUAACUGACAUUGAUGCUCGAAAGUGUGGGUAUCAAACAGGAUUAGAUACCCUGGUAGUCCACACGGUAAACGAUGAAUACUCGCUGUAGGCGAUAUACAGUCUGCGGCCAAGCGAAAGCAUUAAGUAUUCCACCUGGGGAGUACGCCGGCAACGGUGAAACUCAAAGGAAUUGACGGGGGCCCGCACAAGCGGAGGAACAUGUGGUUUAAUUCGAUGAUACGCGAGGAACCUUACCCGGGCUUAAAUUGCAACCGAAUAUGGCGGAAACGCUAUAGCUAGCAAUAGCGGUUGUGAAGGUGCUGCAUGGUUGUCGUCAGCUCGUGCCGUGAGGUGUCGGCUUAAGUGCCAUAACGAGCGCAACCCUUGCCGAUAGUUACUAACAGGUCAUGCUGAGGACUCUGUCGGGACUGCCAUCGUAAGAUGUGAGGAAGGUGGGGAUGACGUCAAAUCAGCACGGCCCUUACGUCCGGGGCUACACACGUGUUACAAUGGGGGGUACAGAGGGCUGCUACCACGCAAGUGGAUGCCAAUCCCAAAAACCUCUCUCAGUUCGGAUUGAAGUCUGCAACCCGACUUCAUGAAGCUGGAUUCGCUAGUAAUCGCGCAUCAGCCACGGCGCGGUGAAUACGUUCCCGGGCCUUGUACACACCGCCCGUCAAGCCAUGGGAGCCGGGGGUACCUGAAGUGCGUAACCGCAAGGAGCGCCCUAGGGUAAAACUGGUGACUGGGGCUAA